rnacentral:lncRNA from 1 species
AUGAAGGCCCUCCUUCCCCGGAUUGAGUUCUCCAAUGAGGGGUUGCCUUUCACCUUAGUUUGUUAUUCUCUCAAGGUAAAUGGCUGGGGCUGCAGACCUGGCGAUGGUGGCGAUGAAGCUGUGGUCGUGCCCAAGCUCCAGACAGGGAGAUUCGUCCUGUUCUGGAGACACUGCUUCGUAGCCCUUGUUGACAUGGAGUGGCUGGUGAGCCUGGCAGUACCUGAUCACCGGCUGGUCGUAGCUGUAAUAUGGUGGUGUCUGCCUGUGUGCUCAGUCAUGUCCUACUGUUCGUGGCCCUAUGGACCGUAG